rnacentral:rRNA from 1 species
GAUGAACGCUGGCGGCGUGCCUAAUACAUGCAAGUCGAGCGAACAGAUGAGGAGCUUGCUCCUCUGACGUUAGCGGCGGACGGGUGGGUAACACGUGGAUAACCUACCUAUAAGACUGGGAUAACUUCGGGAAACCGGAGCUAAUACCGGAUAAUAUAUUGAACCGCAUGGUUCAAUAGUGAAAGACGGUUUUGCUGUCACUUAUAGAUGGAUCCGCGCCGCAUUAGCUAGUUGGUAAGGUAACGGCUUACCAAGGCGACGAUGCGUAGCCGACCUGAGAGGGUGAUCGGCCACACUGGAACUGAGACACGGUCCAGACUCCUACGGGAGGCAGCAGUAGGGAAUCUUCCGCAAUGGGCGAAAGCUUGACGGAGCAACGCCGCGUGAGUGAUGAAGGUCUUCGGAUCGUAAAACUCUGUUAUUAGGGAAGAACAAAUGUGUAAGUAACUAUGCACGUCUUGACGGUACCUAAUCAGAAAGCCACGGCUAACUACGUG